CGGAAAGAGAGGGAUUCGAACCCUCGAUGAUAUAAUUACCAUAUAGACGUUCCAGGUCUAUACCUUCAACCACUCGGACAUCUUUCC
rnacentral:tRNA from 1 species